CUAGGUAUACAACCACGUAUCCAACUUCAACUACCCAUUCAAAUAAAGCAGCAGUCACGUGGGCAAAGUCAGAUGAGGAGAAGGAAUCAUGGAAGAGAUACUUACACGAACAUGGGACUAACAAUGCAGACUUAGAUGGGACCAGUAACCUACACGCAGGAAGCAAGAUCCCCUGUACCUCCUGAUGUUGGGGAAAAGCCUCUCUCACCCCCAGACUUAUAUAUACCAACUCUGAGAUUACUAUACAUCAGAGAAAAGGAAAUUUUUCAAGAAAUGGCCGAGUUUGCAUAUUUUAAUAAAUGGGUAAAAGUACACUCAUCGCUGGACCCUUUUCAACCACAGCCCAGGCCCUUAGGGGCAGCAACAGCUACAGCAGAACAAAAUGGAUGUGCAUUGGAUGCAUACAUACUUGAAAGUAUGCAAUUACCACAGCAAGGGAUUCUGAGCGUCUUCUAACGAGAGGGAUAAAAGUACAAAAUUAAUGUCAAAUCAGGAGGAAUUAUCAGAACCCAGACCCAUGUAUGCCUAUGGUAAAAAAGCAAAUGUUAAAUGAAUAAGCAUGUAAUGGUAAAAUAAGGAUGUAAUGGUAAAAAUAUGUCAAUAAUUAUGGUGGGAGAAUUUCUUAGAUUAGUACUAGGCCAACUGACCUUCUGGACCACUUUAAGUAUAGUCAAUUACCCCUAUGUAAGAAUCAAGCUUUACACCUUGGUUAUGUAAGGUAAAUACCUUAACCAUCAUGCCAUCCUCUCUUAAAAAUUAUUUUCUUUUGUCUCAUAUUAAAAAAUUCUUCUGUAUCAUAGGAACUUACACCUCUUUCUAUUUUUGAUCUGUUCCUCAUAAAAUUUGUGAUUUUCCGGAAAAUCAUUGAGGUCCGGAGAUUCUCAUAAAGAUAAAUAUUUGCGUAUCAAAGCUCAUAUCUUUCAGAAAAUGGACACUAAUGCAAAAUUUUAUAUUCUGAAAAUGUUCUAAGUUUAUAAGAGAAAUUAUUUAACAUCAGCCACUGAUUUUUGGCCUCUGUCUCACUAGUUGGUUGAGAGGUAUGAGGAACUGUAAUUGCUUGGCAGACUAUUUCAAGAAUGUAUUGGAAGUUCAUGUUUUUUUUUCUUAUACAAGGAGAUAAUAACCCUGAGCAGCUGGACUUGCUUAAGUUGCUAAAUCAGUAGAAGAAGAUUUAUUAUCAGAACGUGUUUGCAAAAGGCAUAAUCAAAUUCAGGUUAUAUUUUUUACAGAAUUUAUGGAUUAAAGUGGAUAAAGAAGAGUAUAUAGUUCAUAGGCAAUAUCAUGUGCUUAUGAGUAAUGUUAAAGAAGCUGCGGUAGAAGGGACAAAAUGUAAAAUAACCCUAAGGAAAAAACAAUGAAUUUGACUGGUGUACUGCACAUUUUAUGAGCAGUUUGUAACAAAUUCCAGUUUCAUAACAAUUUAAAAAUGCUGGUACUGAAGUUCACACAAAUAUGUUCAAAAAUGUGAAGUGACUAAUAUUACUGUGGAAAGUUAAAGAACUCUCUGUUCUAUACAUCAUGCACUGUAUGUGAUAUGGUAUUCAUUUAAUAAAAUACAUGUGGGGUUCACUACAUGAAUGAUGAGGAUCAGAGUUUACAAACAUUUAUGCAAUAUGUUCUGUGGGCAUGGUAACAAACCCUGUAGUAAGUAAAUAUUUUGUUGGGUUUUUCAAACUCAUUUGUAAGUUUUCCUUUGUGAGGGUCUAGUCUGGGAAUUGGUGCAGAGGUUAAGCUUGUGAGGGCAGUUUCUGGGAAACAGGAUUUGAUUCUUUAAGCCUUGAUUUGCUUACUGUGUUACCUUGAGCAAGUGACUUAACUAGUCAUUGCUCUUGGGUCACCCCUGUAAAAGGACUGUAUGUCUAUUGGGCCUCCCUGGUUAAAGAAAUAGGUAUUAUUAUUAUUAUUAUUGUGGGUGGGUUUGGCAAACUGGUUAAGGUCUUCUUCUCAUAGACACAAGGUGCAGCGUUUGAUUCUGACCUCAGGCUAUUGGUUAGGUUUAAAAUGGCCCUUCCAGGCAGUUAGCCUAGUAUUUCCCUAUGAAAUAUGAAUUACCAAUAACAUGCAUCAGUAGACUGACUUUCUUAGAACAUAGAAAACAAGCUGCAGGCUGAAUUCCUUCAAAUCUUAUGGUUUAAAUAAAAUAUAUGAUAUUAAGACAUGUUUAGUCUAGUUAAAGUUGUAACAUAAUGCUUUGAAAGAUGUUUCUCGAAAUAUAUAAUGAAUAACAUUUAUAUAAUAAUGGUCCAAUUGGAAAGAAAUCUGUAUUUGAUAAAUAGUUGGAUCUUAUACUAUUCGUUAGAAGGCUCCCCUCUGAAUGGGCUCUGUUACUGAACUACUUUUGUAUAAUUCUGUCUCAUCGUUCAAUAAGACCAAGAAAUAGAUAGAUCAAUUUAA